CUGGAAUCCAGCUCGUCCUGCCCAUCGCACUGCUCCAGCCCUAGACACCUUUUGCCCCAAGCUGUGCAAGUGUCUCUUCCCUGGCUUGCCUCGCCUAUCCUCAGUGCUGUGGAACUGAUGAAUUACUGUCCGUUCUCUGCCGAAAAGCCCCGACAGCAUCUCGUCUUUGAAAUCCCACUUCCUUCACACGGAGUCGCGUCCCCCGCCCCCCCACCCCCACCCUAAAGCCGCCUGGGUUCCAGUUAGCUUUGCCGAAGACUUGCAUUGCCUGGCAUGCACUUCCUCUCAAAUGUUACAUCUAUGAAGCCUCACCCUCAAACCCUGAGACAUUCAUUACAAAAUCAUUUCUCAUGGAACAAGAACAUGUACUUUCAUGGUGCAAGGUUGCCUGAUGUUUCCCAGGUUUCAAUGGCCCAGGCAGAUAAAGGAAAUUCAGCAAGAUCAGAAGAAAGAAGAACUGAUCUAUCCUUAAGUAGGAAAAAUAACCGUGUCCCAAGUAUACAGAAGGGAACAAAUGAAGUAUUUCUGGUAAACUUUUAUUUAUUUGUUACUGAGGUAUAA
rnacentral:lncRNA from 1 species